UGGGGAAUAUUGGACAAUGGGCGCAAGCCUGAUCCAGCAAUGCCGCGUGAGUGAUGAAGGUCUUAGGGUUGUAAAGCUCUUUUACCCGGGAAGAUAAUGACUGUACCGGGAGAAUAAGCCCCGGCUAACUCCGUG
rnacentral:rRNA from 1 species